rnacentral:lncRNA from 1 species
AGAAUAAAAUUGGGAUUGGAGGAAAUGGGAGGCAAAGAGGUGUCUAAACCAAGUUUCAAACCGAAGUUGGCUUUUGAUAAGGUUUAAGAAACAAAAGUGUCUCCCUCGUGUUUCUGACAUAUGUGACAACUAAAGGUGACCGUUUCAUUUAAAGAAAAAGGUGACCGUUUCUGUUUUGUAUAUAUAUCACUAAUUUUGUUCAAUUUGGAUAUUAUUUUGUAUGGGGAAGCUAGGCUACGCACGAAGCAUGGGAACAUGUAUGGCAUGUUUUGAUAUUUUGACUUGAGAAUUGUGUAAUCAAAAGCGUUUCCUUUUUGUAUAACGUCAUUUUGGGAUUCAGAAAUAUUAAGAAAUUGAAAAAGAAGAAGAAAAAAACGAAGCAAAGAAACCGACUGUUACCGUAAGAUGUGAAUUGUAAAAUGGUCAAAGGACACGCUCACACGCACCCAUUGUUACGACCAUAGUUUCAAACAAACGAAAAAGAAAAGGAAGAAGUGGUGGUGGCUGGUGGGGAGUAGUUAAAAAAAGGAAAACAUGUGAUCUUGUCUGACAAAACCGCCUUAUCCUCCUCCAUUAUUUCGGUUAUGAAUCUGUUUGCAGUCUUUGUCUCGCCUUUAAAAAUUCUCUGGUUUCUUCUAUUCUCUUACCUCAGCAAAUUAUGAUUCUGUUUUGUUUUUUUUUACACCUUUCUUCCCCCAUUUCUUUCUCUCGAAGGUAUCUUUUCCAAUGUCUUCAUCUCAAAGAUUAAAUCUUCUGAAGUUACUGGUAGCUUCUAGCCCAAUCUCAGGAUUUGGUAAUAUAUUUUUCCUUACAAUC